rnacentral:rRNA from 1 species
CAGCCGUAAACUAAUGCGCGUUAGGUGUACUGGUGACCACGAGUCACCGGGUGCCGAAGGGAAACCGUGAAACGUGCCGCCUGGGAAGUACGGUCGCAAGGCUGAAACUUAAAGGAAUUGGCGUGGGAGCACCACAACGGGUGGAGCCUGCGGUUUAAUUGGACUCAACGCCGGAAAUCUCACCGGAUAGGACAGACAUAUGAUAGUCGGGCUGAAGACUCUACUUGAUGAUCUGAGAGGUGGUGCAUGGCGUCAGUGACU